CAGCCGCCGCGGUAAUACGUAUGUCGCAAGCGUUAUCCGGAUUUAUUGGGCGUAAAGCGCGUCUAGGCGGUUUGGUAAGUCUGAUGUGAAAAUGCGGGGCUCAACCCCGUAUUGCGUUGGAAACUGCCAAACUAGAGUACUGGAGAGGUGGGCGGAACUACAAGUGUAGAGGUGAAAUUCGUAGAUAUUUGUAGGAAUGCCGAUGGAGAAGUCAGCCCACUGGACAGAUACUGACGCUGAAGCGCGAAAGCGUGGGUAGCAAACAGGAUUAGAUACCCUGGUAGUCCACGCCGUAAACGAUGAUUACUAGGUGUUGGGGGUCGAACCUCAGCGCCCAAGUUAACGCGAUAAGUAAUCCGCCUGGGGAGUACGUACGCAAGUAUGAAACUCAAAGGAAUUGACGGGGACCCGCACAAGCGGUGGAGCAUGUGGUUUAAUUCGACGCAACGCGAGGAACCUUACCAGCGUUUGACAUCCUAAGAAGUUGGCAGAGAUGCCGAUGUGUCCCUUCGGGGAAACUUAGUGACAGGUGGUGCAUGGCC
rnacentral:rRNA from 1 species